AUUGAACGCUGGCGGCAGGCCUAACACAUGCCAGUCGAACGGUAACAGGAAGAAGCUUGCUUCUUUGCUGACGAGUGGCGGACGGGUGAGUAAUGUCUGGGAAACUGCCUGAUGGAGGGGGAUAACUACUGGAAACGGUAGCUAAUACCGCAUAACGUCGCAAGACCAAAAAGGGGGACCUUCGGGCCUCUUGCCAUCGGAUGUGCCCAGAUGGGAUUAGCUAGUAGGUGGGGUAACGGCUCACCUAGGCGACGAUCCCUAGCUGGUCUGAGAGGAUGACCAGCCACACUGGAACUGAGACACGGUCCAGACUCCUACGGGAGGCAGCAGUGGGAAUAUUGCACAAUGGGCGCAAGCCUGAUGCAGCCAUGCCGCGUGUAUGAAGAAGGCCUUCGGGUUGUAAAGUACUUUCAGCGGGGAGGAAGGGAGUAAAGUUAAUACCUUUGCUCAUUGACGUUACCCGCAGAAGAAGCACCGGCUAACUCCGUG
rnacentral:rRNA from 1 species